rnacentral:rRNA from 1 species
UGCAGUCGACGGGCACUUCGGUGUCAGUGGCAGACGGGUGAGUAACACGUGGGAACGUACCUUUUGGUUCGGAACAACACAGGGAAACUUGUGCUAAUACCGGAUAAGCCCUUACGGGGAAAGAUUUAUCGCCAAAAGAUCGGCCCGCGUCUGAUUAGCUAGUUGGUAGGGUAACGGCCUACCAAGGCGACGAUCAGUAGCUGGUCUGAGAGGAUGAUCAGCCACAUUGGGACUGAGACACGGCCCAAACUCCUACGGGAGGCAGCAGUGGGGAAUAUUGGACAAUGGGCGCAAGCCUGAUCCAGCCAUGCCGCGUGAGUGAUGAAGGCCCUAGGGUUGUAAAGCUCUUUUGUACGGGAAGAUAAUGACGGUACCGUAAGAAUAAGCCCCGGCUAACUUCGUGCCAGCAGCCGCGGUAAUACGAAGGGGGCUAGCGUUGCUCGGAAUCACUGGGCGUAAAGGGUGCGUAGGCGGGUUUUUAAGUCAGAGGUGAAAUCCUGGAGCUCAACUCCAGAACUGCCUUUGAUACUGGGAAUCUUGAGUAUGGAAGAGGUGAGUGGAACUGCGAGUGUAGAGGUGAAAUUCGUAGAUAUUCGCAAGAACACCAGUGGCGAAGGCGGCUCACUGGUCCAUAACUGACGCUGAGGCACGAAAGCGUGGGGAGCAAACAGGAUUAGAUACCCUGGUAGUCCACGCCGU